rnacentral:rRNA from 1 species
AUUGAACGCUGGCGGCAUGCUUUACACAUGCAAGUCGAACGGUAACAGGCCUUCGGGUGCUGCCGAGUGGCGAACGGGUGAGUAAUGCAUCGGAACGUACCCAGAGGUGGGGGAUAACGCAGCGAAAGCUGUGCUAAUACCGCAUGUGAUCUGAGGAUGAAAGCGGGGGACCGAGCAGCAAUGUUUGGCCUCGCGCCUUUGGAGCGGCCGAUGUCGGAUUAGCUAGUUGGUGGGGUAAAGGCCUACCAAGGCGACGAUCCGUAGCUGGUCUGAGAGGACGACCAGCCACAAUGGGACUGAGACACGGCCCAGACUCCUACGGGAGGCAGCAGUGGGGAAUUUUGGACAAUGGGCGCAAGCCUGAUCCAGCAAUGCCGCGUGCGGGAAGAAGGCCUUCGGGUUGUAAAACGCUUUUGGCAGGAACGAAACGGUGUCCGCUAAUACCGGGCGCUAAUGACGGUACCUGAAGAAUAAGCACCGGCUAACUACGUG